CUCAGAUAGAACUGCACAGGAGAGGCAGCGCGAGGGCCGGGAGGGGGCCUGGGGGAGAAGGGGAAGGAGCAGGAGAGCCUCCAGGACAAAUCCCUGUUUCCUCCCACGAGGACUAGUGACGGAAGGCCCACAGGACGCUUUGGUGGAGGAGAAUCGCGAAACGACUGUGGAAAAUGAGACCACAGUCGAAUGUGUAAAAUUAGAGACCCGGUGGCGAUCCUGCCUGGAACGCGAUUUGUCACCCUCUGUCGAACUGAGACACUGAAAGGCUCUCGGGGUCCCGAGGAGGCUUUAGGGCUUGCAGUUCCCCGCCCAGCUCUCUAGGAGAAAGCCUGCUCAGAGCCUGGCUGGCAUCCCAGCGCUGGACUCCGGCUCCCGGGGAGGACGUUCUCGGUCAGGACUCCGGGCACCUCCUCCGUGUCUGCACACUUCUGACUGGGAGCCGCCGCCCUCCCACGCUGUCUCUGGCUUCCUGGCCUGGCUCCUCUCCCCGCUGGCACGGCGGGCGGCCUUUCCGGACAGGCACUUCCUAAACGCUGCUCCAGCUUCUGAUGGGGGUCUGCGCUUGGAGGCUCAAUGAAAAGAACCAGGACAGAAUGGAUGGACAGCAUCACUCCAUCGGCAGGAAUCAGUGCUCACAGGGGUAAAGAUGCUUGUAUGGAAGCAUGGAGCCGGCGAGGACCCAGGCCAUCACCUCCCAGACUCCUGACUCCCAGGCAGAAUAUUACCGACUAAGCCUGGAUGCUGGCGACUCCCCAGGCCUUGCUUCAAGUUUUGACUCCACUGCUUUUCUUUUAAGCUGGAGUCACCGGCCACCUCUGAACCUCCAAAUGUCACUCUGCCAGAGGAUCAGACAAAUAUAUAGAGAAAAAGAACAUGCUGGGGUUGUCCCCAGAGCCCUCUGUAGCAGAGACUCAAGUUGUCACCGCUCUCAUGAGGGGCCUCUGGGUCCUGCUGUCCUCGUCCUGCCCUGCCCUGUGCUCCCUGGUGACCCCAGGCCCAGCCCUUGUGCCUUAUCCCCAGGGACUCCUCACGCUGCUACCUGGCCUCACUCUCGGGAUUCAAGGUUUGGUUUCCCGGGCAGCAGGCUGAGUCUGCAGGAUGGUUAUUCAAGAACAAUGGAGGAGGAAGCUGGAGUGGCUGCGGGAGAGCCUGGCCAGGGAAGCCCUCAGAGCUGUCCUGAGUGGGCUGGGGCGGCCAGCCCUGGUUUCUCUCCAGCACAGACCUUUGGCUGUGGACCCUCAGAGGAGGGUGUCUCUGUGGGCAGGGCUCUUUGCAGCUGAGGUGUCCUGGAGCCAGCUGCCAGCAGCAGUGCCAAGCCUGGAACGUGGAGGCGGCUGCUGACUUUGCUGAAUGAAUGUAGGAGGAAGGCAAAGGGAAG
rnacentral:lncRNA from 13 species